rnacentral:ncRNA from 2 species
AUUGAAACCAUGAGUCUGGUAAUUGGAAUGAGUAUAAUCUAAAUAUCUUAACAAAGAUCCAUUGGAGGGCAAGUCUGGUGCCAGCAGCCGCGGUAAUUCCAGCUCUAA